rnacentral:tRNA from 1 species
GCAGCCGUCGUCUAGUGGCCCAAGACGCGAGAUUGCCAAUCUCGAGAUCCCGCGUUCGAAUCGCGGCGGCUGCACCA